rnacentral:lncRNA from 1 species
CAGUCACCAACUGAAUCAGAAUUUCUCACUCUUCCCCUUGCCUUUCAGUAAGGAUCGGUCUCAGGUGACUGAGGGUGAUGUUUCCAUUACCUCGUGGUGGAGUGGUCACAUUUUAAAGACAUGGUAAAAUUUACAUAUUCAAGGGACAGAGAAAGAAUGUCUCUUACCGCUCAUCCUCUAACCUGCUCUCUCUCUACAGCCACCAGCUCAGCUUUCACGUGAGACUUCCAGGGAAGUUUCAGAGGAGGGAACUGUGGGGGCCCAGGACAGUCUGCCUCAAGAUAUUCCACAAUGGCAUGUUGACUAUUUGAGUUAAAGUUACUUAAAAAGCCAAAAGGGGCUUUCUGAGCCUCCUGUCUCUGUUCCUCUGAAAGCAGGAAUGAAUCUCCCAUAUGAGAGGUGCCCUGCCUGCAUCCUUAUCACCAGAGCUGGGGGGCUGAGGGCCAAGAAGCUGCAUAGACAAACCUUGAUAACUCACUAACUCAAGUCUAAAUUCCUCACUAAUUACAUGCCUCAAACCUAAGUUUCCUUGUCCUGUCAAUUUUUCACAAAUUUAUGUUUCUUUGUGUAAAAGAUACAUAUACCGCCUGUUUUGUUCACUCUCCAAGCACAACUUCAUGAUUUUCCUGUGUGCAC